GUGAGGAAUAUUGGUCAAUGGGCGCGAGCCUGAACCAGCCAAGUAGCGUGAGGGAUGACUGCCCUAUGGGUUGUAAACCUCUUUUGCAGGGGGGUAAAGUGGUCCACGUGUGGGCCAUUGCAAGUACCCUGCGAAUAAGCACCGGCUAACUCCGUGCCAGCAGCCGCGGUAAUACGGAGGGUGCGAGCGUUGUCCGGAUUUAUUGGGUUUAAAGGGUGCGUAGGCUGGAAGGUCAGUCAGCGGUGAAAAGCUGUCGCUUAACGAUAGUCUUGCCGCAGAUACUUCCUUUCUUGGAUGAGGAGGAGGCCACUGGAACGGAUGGUGUAGCGGUGAAAUGCAUAGAUAUCAUCCAGAACACCGAUUGCGAAGGCAGGUGGCUGUACCUUAAUCGACGUUGAUGCACGAAAGCAUGGGGAGCAAACAGGAUUAGAAACCCCGGUAGUCC
rnacentral:rRNA from 1 species